GGUAUCAAACAGGAAUUAGAUACCCUGGUAGUUCACACGGUAAACGAUGAAUACUCGCUGUUUGCGAUAUACAGCAAGCGGCCAAGCGAAAGCGUUAAGUAUUCCACCUGGGGAGUACGCCGGCAACGGUGAAACUCAAAGGAAUUGACGGGGGCCCGCACAAGCGGAGGAACAUGUGGUUUAAUUCGAUGAUACGCGAGGGACCUUACCCGGGCUUAAAUUGCAGAUGAAUUACGGUGAAAGCCGUAAGCCGCAAGGCAUCUGUGAAGGUGCUGCAUGGUUGUCGUCAGCUCGUGCCGUGAGGUGUCGGCUUAAGUGCCAUAACGAGCGCAACCCUUGUUGUCAGUUACUAACAGGUUCCGCUGAGGACUCUGACAAGACUGCCAUCGUAAGAUGUGAGGAAGGUGGGGAUGACGUCAAAUCAGCACGGCCCUUACGUCCGGGGCUACACACGUGUUACAAUGGGGGGUACAGAGGGCCGCUACCACGCGAGUGGAUGCCAAUCCCAAAAACCUCUCUCAGUUCGGACUGGAGUCUGCAACCCGACUCCACGAAGCUGGAUUCGCUAGUAAUCGCGCAUCAGCCACGGCGCGGUGAAUACGUUCCCGGGCCUUGUACACACCGCCCGUCAAGCCAUGGGAGCCGGGGGUACCUGAAGUGCGUAACCGCGAGGAGCGCCCUAGGGUAAAACUG
rnacentral:rRNA from 1 species